UACAGAGGUGUCAAACGUUGUCCGGAAUUAUUGGGCGUAAAGGGCGCGUAGGCGGCCGGGUAAGUGAGAUGUGAAAGCUCUGGGCUCAGCCCAGGAAUUGCAUUUCAUACUGCUCGGCUAGAGAUUGGUAGAGGAUGGCGGAAUUCCAGGUGUAGCGGUGAAAUGCGUAGAUAUCUGGAGGAAGGCCGGUGGCGAAGGCGGCCCC
rnacentral:rRNA from 1 species